UAUACUGAUAUUUAUUUAUUUGACUUAACUGCAGAGACCGAGUAUUGUAUUAGGCAAUAAUGGGUUUUCUGCCCAGCAUCCUAUCCCUACCAGCUCUCCCUCUGGCAGUCUUAAAUUUGUCUUCAAAUUUGCUUGAGCAGCCAGGAGUUUGGAAGGAGUUGGCUAUACCCCCAUUCCAGGGGAGGCUCUGAUUGGCCCAAAUUGAUAGGGUAAUCUCACCCCCUUGGUCAAUUGUCAAUUACGGGUUCAGGGAUUGGCACCUGAUAUAAACUGGUCUGAUCAAAGUGAAGCGAAAGACCUCUCCCUACUGGCUGGAGGAGAAAUGCAUUCUCCCCCUAGACUUAAACUUGGCAAUAUGGAGCCCAGCCUUCUGCCACUGGGCAUACUGAGGACAAAGCUGUCUCAGAGAAGGCCAGAGCUGAGAGAACCCCAGAAACAGGGCCUCAACAAAGCUUGAAUUUCCUCAGGAAUUUUCAGUUACAUGAGUAAUAUUGUCGUUGUUAUGUGCAUUCAAGUCAUCUUAACUCAUAGCCACCCCAGGAGACAUAGUAUAACUGCCCCAUAAGGUUUUGUUGGCUAUGAUCUUUAAAGGGGCAGGCUGCCAAGUCUUUUUCCCACAAAGCUGCUGGGCGGGUUCAAACUAUCAACCUUUGGGUUAGCAGCCGGGCGCUUAAUGUUUGCACCACCAGGGCUCCGUACAUGAGUAAUAAAGUGCCUUUAUUUUAUAAGCCAAAUUGACUUGGGUUUUUAAGUCCUUGUGACAGAAAACAUCCUAACACCAGCAUCCUCAGUCUAGGAGCCUUCUCACUAGGCAUUCUGGAGGGUUACAGAAAUGGAGACAAACAAAAACUGGGCAAAGAGUUUAACUUUCUGAAGGUCACAUAGCCGGUAUAAAAGAGAGAAGCAAGUAGAGAGACGUGGGGACCUCGUACCACCAAGAAAGCAGCGCCUGGAGCAGAGCGUAUCCCUUGGACCUGAGGUUCCUGCACUGAGUUGCUCCCAGACCAAGGGAAGGCUGAUGACAAUGACCUUCCUUCAGAACCGAAGGAGAGACGACUUCUCCUGGAGAUGGCACCCUGAAUUCGGGCUUAUAACCUACUAGACUGUGAAAGAAUAAAUUUCUCUUUGUUAAAGCCAUCCACUUGUGAUAUUUCUGUUACAGCGGCACUAGAUGACCAAGACACUCCCCUUUUCCAACUUGGGUUUCCCAUUACCAGCUUUCCUGUCCCCUUCUACCUUCUUGUCCUUGUCCCUGGGCUGGUGUGCCCAUUUAGUCUCACUUUGUUUCAUGGGCCUGUCUAAUCUUUGGCUGAAGGGUGAACCUCAGGAGUGACUUCAGUACUGAGCUAUAAGAGUGUCCAGGAGCCAUACUCUCGGGGUUUCUCUGGUCUCUGUCAGCCCAGGAAGUCUGUUUUGUGUGUGUGUGUGUGAGUUAGAAUUUUGUUCUACAUUUUUCUCCAGCUUUGUUCGGGACCCUCUAUUGUGAUACCUGUCAGAGCAGCUGGUGGUGGUAGCUGGGUACCAUGUAGUUGUGCCAGACUCAUUCUGGUGGAGGCUGUGGUAGUUGUGGUCCAUUAGUCCUUUGGGCUAAUCUUUCCUUUGUGUCUUUGGUUUUCUUCACUCUCCUUUACUCCAGAUGGGGUAAGACCAGU